UUUACUUUUACAUCUUUAGUAAUAGUUAAUAAUAAUAAUAGUUAAACUUUAGUAAUAGUAACUAAUAAUAACACAGUUCUUUGGUGUUUCUAUUGUCUAGCCCCCUAGUCUUUUUUCCCUGCCAAUAAUGGAAACUAAAUUUGUUCCUGACUUAUACCCUUCUAUUUUAAAAGUAAACUCGUGAGUUUCCUAGAUUGCCUCUGAGAAUCUUGUCCCUGUCAACGAAUAUGAGUUUCGGUUAGAAUUUCCUUUAAGAAAUUUGUAUAUUCUUUAAAGGAAUUCUUCAUUUCAUCAAAAGAAGCAUGAUAACCUUUACACCUAUUUUACAAUUGCGGAACCAAGGUGAUUCAUUGACAUUUCUAAGUUCUUUGGCUUCUGAUAACUCUUGGUGAGGCUCCAGAAAUCCAUCAAGAUUCUUAAAUGAACUUAAGUCCUUGUAAGUAGAUCCAAUUGAUGUAAUCCAUUUAUUAAUCAGUCAUUUUUUGAAUGCGAAUACUAAGGUUCCUAGAUUGCCAUUCAGGAAUUCAGCCAUGCCCAUGAAUAUCAGCUCUAGUUAGACUUUCCUUUGAAAAUUCUAUAAGGAAAUUCUUCAUUUAAUUCCAAAUAGGAUCAAACAAGCUCAAGCCAUUAUAGACUUAGUCCAACACAUAAAACCACUUUUAAAUUCUUUGGCCUCAUAACUAUAGUAAAAUUCAAGUGUUCCAUGAGUCUUAUAUCCUCCUGGGACCUAGCGUCCAUUUAAAUGGACAUGCCAGUUUUAUGUUUCCAGUUUCGUUUUCAUGUUUUCUGUUGUGAUGGCGGCUGCACAUAGUUCUCGUUAUGAUGGAAUUUUUGGCAAUCAAAGAGUGCUUCUGCCAGGGGAAGAUGACGAAAAAUUGGAGCAAAUACUAAAAAUCAUUGGAAAUGAUGAAAUGUCUGAUGAUGAAGAAGAAAUUCAAACUAUGGAUAAUUUAAUGGGGAGAGAAGAAGAAAUAAUUAAUGAAGAACUAGUAAGCAGCAGUAAGGAGGAAGAAGAAGAAGAUAGAAUUCCUCUUAGUGUCCUGAGAGAAAACUUAAAAAUGGCCAAGCAAUCUGUGGAUUCUUUAAACCUAGCAAUGAGUGUAAAAGGUAGUCUAAGAAAGGCUCUAAAUACAUUCAGGUUAAAAGACCUUACGUUGUUGCUAAAUACAACGAUUGUAUGGGAGGAAUAGACUUGAUAGACCGAAUGAUUAGCUAUUAUAGAAUUCGAGCCAGGUCAAAAAAAUGGACUGUAAGGGUCAUUUUCCAUUUCUUUGAUCUAGCAAUGGCUAACUCAUGGAUUUUUUAUCGAAGAGAUAAAAAAAUAUUUAAAAUCCCUCCACGCAAAAUACAACAAUAUUUUAAAAUCGAAAUUGCUACUCAAUUUUUGACAAAUAUACCCAACCCACAAAGUGAAUCCCAAGAAAACAUCAUCGUCAUUAGGCACCAAAACAAAACAGAAACAACACUUUCCAGAAAUUGCUUCAGACUUAAAAAAUUCGGUUAGAUGUAAAAAUGACUCUUGUGCCAAGAAAACCAAGUUUUUUUGUAAUACAUGCAACACAUUUUUGCUUAUUACUGGCAACAGAAACUGUUUCAUGAAGUUCCAUAACAAAUAAGUUUAAGUUUACAUUUAUUUUCUGCGUUCUCAUAGGUUUACUGAAAUGUUAUUGAAAAAAAAAAUUAUAUAUUAGGAAUUUUUGUUUAGGUUAAGACCAAUGUCCAUUUUAAUGGACGUCAUGUAUCGGUCAAAGUAAGAAAAAAAAUAAAAAAAAUUAUUAGUAAACAAUGUUUAUUUAUGUAUUUUUUAUUAUAUUUAAAAGCCUCAUAACCUUAACUUAAUAAAAACAUGUCCGGGUCCCAGGAGGAUAUAAGAUGUUUCACAUUUCGGUCUUAAGGGUACUUAACCUUUUUUGUUUUUCUUGCAAAUGAUUUACCUGAAGAUUCCAACAUAUCCAAAUUAUCGAGGAAUUCUUCACCAUUCAGCCUGGAUUCAGUAAAAUUAUACUAAUAAUCAUUCAGAUAUUCAAACGUUUUUACUUUGGUCCUCUUCCAAUGGAUUGAAAUCAUUGAUUAAUCAAUUGUUUUUUAAAAUGAAUUAUGAGCUUCUGUCUCAAGAUCAUAAAUAUG
rnacentral:lncRNA from 1 species